UAACAUAGAUAGCUGAUAGAUAGAUAGAGUAGAUAUAUAAAUAGAUAAAAUGGUUUACUACUGUAUUUGUGGCGGGUGCAACAACUCAAGCAAAAGUGGACAUAGGGUCCAUUGCUUCCCCAAGGAUAAAGGGAUCUUCCGAAACUGGGUGCUUCGGAAGCAAAGAGCUAGCUUAUUUUUCAGCUAGCUCUGUUACCGCAUACUCAUGAAUAUGCAGCGCGCAUUUCAAGGAGGAUGAUUACCACUCAGGGGAUGCCAAGAUGGUCUCACUUGGUUUAAAGAGUGAGAGGAUGGCGAAGUUAAUUCCUACCGCCGUGCCGUCUGUGCAUGCAAACCACUCUGCCUGCCCUGUCCCGAGGUCGAGAGACACCGUCUGCCGCAAGCGAGAGAUUGCCACGGCUUCUCUUAGCGGCGCUGCAUUACAAUGCCAAUCGCGAGACAGCACGGAGAAGUGACGGAACGGAGAAGUACUGCGUGCGGUAUCCGCGCUUCAGAAAAGGUUAUGCAACAUCAUUAAUGAAGGCCCUUCGGGAGAGCUACGUCAAUUCACCCGCGGUUCUUCGAGAGGUUAGCGCCAAUUCGUCCUCCAAUGUACCCGCCCCCAUCGCCAAAUCCUUCGAACAGAUUCCUAAGGAGGAGGCCGUCAGCCUCUACCUAGCCCGGCAGUCACGCUUCAAGAAAACCUAAUUUCACAUUAUUAUUAUUUUCCACAGAAAAUUCUAAUGAUUUAGUUGUUAUUAUUUGCAUGAAUUUUUUUUGCAUGUAAUUCAAAAUAAUUUGGCAAUCAUUUUACCUGUGCCUUGUCAACCUCGGUGUGCGGUGUUGUCUGGGCUCACUGUGUGUCUGCUUGAUGUGCUUUUUGCAAGUAUCAUUGCAUGUAUGCAUGCAUGAAAUAGUAUGUGUGUGUGUGUGUGUGUGAGAGAAAUACCUGAGGGUCAGCUGACCCUCAGGUAUGACCACACUAUUGCAGAAUUAAUUAGAAUUAAACAUUUCGGGUCUAGCCCUU